UAGGGAAUCUUCCGCAAUGGACGAAAGUCUGACGGAGCAACGCCGCGUGAGUGAAGAAGGAUUUCGGUUCGUAAAACUCUGUUGUUAGGGAAGAAAAAAUGUAUAGUAACUAUAUACAAAAGAGACGGUACCUAACCAGAAAGCCACGGCUAACUACGUGCCAGCAGCCGCGGUAAUACGUAGGUGGCAAGCGUUGUCCGGAAUUAUUGGGCGUAAAGCGCGCGCAGGUGGUUUAGAAAGUCUGAUGUGAAAGCCCACGGCUCAACCGUGGAGGGUCAUUGGAAACUAAUUAACUUGAGUGCAGGAGAGAAAAGUGGAAUUCCUAGUGUAGCGGUGAAAUGCGUAGAGGUUAGGAGGAACAACGGUGGCGAAAGCGGCUUUUUGGCCUGCAACUGACACUGAGGCGCGAUAGAGUGGGGAGCAAACAGG
rnacentral:rRNA from 1 species